AAGUGCAUCAGGUGGAUGCCUUGGCGAUGAUAGGCGACGAAGGACGUGUAAGCCUGCGAAAAGCAUCGGGGAGCUGGCAAUAGAGCUAUGAUCCGGUGAUGUCCGAAUGGGGAAACCCACCGUAUUCUGUACGGUAUCCUUAUCUGAAUACAU
rnacentral:sRNA from 1 species